GGAAGGGAGCCUUAUAAAUCAAUCCGUCUUUAACGGCAGGGAAAGGCUGGCGAGCCUCCCCGGGAUGCUCUCAGGUCCUUCUCCGGUAGCCAUCGGCAUGGCAACGGUCGCCAAGGAAACCGCCUCCAUGGCGACGCAUCCCUGGAUGCGGGCGCUGGGCGAUGUCCGCGGGCGCACACACCCCAGUCCCGGGCUCUGCUUCCCCGGGGGGGUCGUGGGGAAGGGAGUGGCCCCGUAGGGGGACAAGUGGCAGCCUCAGGAACCCCCAGCUGCCUGCUUCCAGCAGCAGUCCCCAGCCCUGCGAGGAGAGGGACGUGGGCAGCAGCCUCCCCUUGCCAGGAUGGGGCGACGCACAGGGAGGUAGCAGCUUGCAGGAGCAGCAGUGAGCCGGACAAAACGGCACCGAGCAUCCCCCCGCUGCCGUCCCCACGACAGGGGCAUGGGGAACCUCUGGACAAAGCUGAGCUCCGUGUGCCCCACGGGAUCCCGCAGCCACAGCACCCGGGGAGGAUGCCGAAGCCGGCAGUGUUGGGAGGCUCAGAAGGACACAGCCCCCAUCACCAACCUGUCCGUGGCCGAGCGCUGUUUGCUCCAGGAAAGUGCAAUGAAUUUAGAACAUACCCCAGGAAAAGCCUUGAUUAUUUCUAAGAUAUUUUCCAGAGAAUAUUUUCAAUUAAAUCGCUCCUUGAAAGCACCUUUCUGGUGUUUUCUACGUAAAGCCUUAAUAACUCAUUCCAGCACAUGAUUUAGCGAUACUAUAAACAGUUGAAAUAAUAUUAACUUGCGCAUAGAGCUGAAAUGAAAACACAGUUUCUGAGCCUUAAAGACUCCGCGAUUCUUUUCCCACUACAGAAUCGCUGAAUAUCCAUGCUUUGAUCCAAGGUUGAGAGUUAAAAAUAAACCUGUCGGGAAGCUGCUGCUGACAGCAGGAGGACUGGUGCUGGAGACCAUCGGGGCUGCUCAAGCAGGGCCGAGGAGGCUGGGCAGAGGGCAGCGGGAUUUUGGGGGUGCAGGGUGCUGGUGGGGAGCGGAGGGGCCGAUGCUCACAGCCGGCACAGAUCCGCCUCGCGAGCCAUGGCAGGAGCUCAGGCGAGCAGCAGCCAUUUAUUUUUUUUGUAACUUUAUUCUUUUUCAACCCAAUUAAGCCCCCGAAUAACAGCUGCCUAAGCCCCGGCGCGUUUUGAUUUAAUAGGCCGGUUACUUUAUGUGAGUAAAAUAAUCAUUAGCA